rnacentral:rRNA from 1 species
GAUGAACGCUGGCGGCGUGCCUAAUACAUGCAAGUCGAGCGAACAGACGAGGAGCUUGCUUCUCUGAUGUUAGCGGCGGACGGGUGAGUAACACGUGGAUAACCUACCUAUAAGACUGGGAUAACUUCGGGAAACCGUAGCUAAUACCGGAUAAUAUUUUGAACCGCAUGGUUCAAUAGUGAAAGACGGUCUUGCUGUCACUUAUAGAUGGAUCCGCGCUGCAUUAGCUAGUUGGUAAGGUAACGGCUUACCAAGGCAACGAUGCAUAGCCGACCUGAGAGGGUGAUCGGCCACACUGGAACUGAGACACGGUCCAGACUCCUACGGGAGGCAGCAGUAGGGAAUCUUCCGCAAUGGGCGAAAGCCUGACGGAGCAACGCCGCGUGAGUGAUGAAGGUCUUCGGAUCGUAAAACUCUGUUAUUAGGGAAGAACAUAUGUGUAAGUAACUGUGCACAUCUUGACGGUACCUAAUCAGAAAGCCACGGCUAACUACGUG